UACGAAGGGUGCAAGCGUUAAUCGGAAUUACUGGGCGUAAAGGGUGCGUAGGCGGUUGUUUAAGUCUGUCGUGAAAUCCCCGGGCUCAACCUGGGAAUGGCGAUGGAUACUGGGCAGCUAGAGUGUGUCAGAGGAUGGUGGAAUUCCCGGUGUAGCGGUGAAAUGCGUAGAGAUCGGGAGGAACAUCAGUGGCGAAGGCGGCCAUCUGGAACAACACUGGCGCUGAAGCACGAAAGCGUGGGGAGCAAACAGG
rnacentral:rRNA from 1 species